rnacentral:misc_RNA from 1 species
GAUGAAGAACGCAGCGAAAUGCGAUAAGUAAUGUGAAUUGCAGAAUUCAGUGAAUCAUCGAAUCUUUGAACGCACAUUGCGCCCCCUGGUAUUCCGGGGGGCAUGCCUGUUCGAGCGUCAUUUCACCACUCAAGCCUCGCUUGGUAUUGGGCAACGCGGUCCGCCGCGUGCCUCAAAUCGUCCGGCUGGGUCUUCUGUCCCCUAAGCGUUGUGGAAACUAUUCGCUAAAGGGUGUUCGGGAGGCUACGCCGUAAAACAACCCCAUUUCUAAGGUUGACCUCGGAUCAGGUAGGGAUACCCGCUGAACUUAAGCAUAUCAAUAAGCGGAGUA